UACGAAGGGGGCUAGCGUUGCUCGGAAUUACUGGGCGUAAAGGGCGCGUAGGCGGUUCUAUAAGUCAGGCGUGAAAUUCCUGGGCUUAACCUGGGGGCUGCGCUUGAGACUGUGGGACUUGAGGUCAGAAGAGGGUCGUGGAAUUCCCAGUGUAGAGGUGAAAUUCGUAGAUAUUGGGAAGAACACCGAUGGCGAAGGCAGCCAUCUGGACCGACACUGACGCUGAGGCGCGAAAGCGUGGGGAGCAAACAGG
rnacentral:rRNA from 1 species